AAUCCUUCCCCGAGGCCAAGAGAAGUAUAGGAGGCAGCGACGGCAACUGCACCGACGGCAACGGCAGCUUUUUACCCCGAAGCACGGUGGCAGGGAGGCGGCGUUGACGGUGGCUGCAUUUUUCCGGCUGCUUCUCCCCCCGACCUCUUCCGUUUCUUGCUCCUCCAUCGAGACAGCACUAGACUCGCCAGCUCCGCUUUUAUCCGGUGCCCGGAGCCUGCGCACUGGAGCCUCCUCAGCCCCUAGUGGGCGUCGAGUGACACCCCAACCGGGUUCACCCAGCGCUGGAGGCCAGACUGGGCUGGGGGAGGAGGGGGAGAGGAACGGGGAGACGGGACUGGGGUUGUUUGGGAGGGGGAGAAGGUGUAUCGCUUUCGGAGGGUGACGGGAGGGAGUUCGUUCCCAAGCCCUGCUGUCCUUGUUCGUGCACCCAAUACUGGCAUGCCCAAGCUCACCUAUAUCCAGACUUGAGGGCCACUGGGGGAAAGGGGGAAAGAACCAGUCCCACCGAAUACCGACACUUCCUCAAACCUUCGGUGGAUUGUUGAAUGCAUCUGUUGUCAGAAAGACAGAGAUUCCGUCCCCCUCACCGCCUCCAGUUUGCUAUCUUCGAGCCUCCGCGGAGAGGCAACGGCGGGCGGCAGCCCACAAGCAAAAUGGCGCCGGGCAGCUUCAUCCCCUCCCCCUCUGCCCCUGCGGAGCGGGACGGGCGUACCCCGUGCACUUGCCGCCGCCGCCGCCGCCGCCGCGGCCGCCGCCGCCGCCGCCGCCAUUUUCCCAGAGCGAGAGGCAGUGACACUGAGCGGGCGCAGGGGGCCGAGUCGGAGACCGUGCCGGAGUUCGGGAGCGGCAACAGAGUGGGCAUAGACACUCCGAGCAGCCUCGCCGUCGUCUCUGCGUUCCUGUUGACUGCCUGGCUGCCCCCUCCCCUACUCCUCGGUUCCUGGUGAAGAGGCUGCGCGCUGCUGUUUGGGGAGGGGGUGUGUGGAGCCGGGUCCUGUGUCCGCAGUGGCUGCUGUCGGGGGGUCGCCUGUUCGCGGAGGUGCGGAGAGACUCCUUGGGGGUCGAGCACAUAACGGGGUUCGGGUGUCUCGUGUGUGAACAUCACAGGGUUUGUGGAUGCACUUAGAUGUUUGCAAUGAGCACUGUGGCUGGCAUGCCCCAGUGUUUUGGAUACCAAUGCAUAGGACUCCAUAGUAAUCGAAUUUACCAGAGGCGAACGUCAUGAGCAUAGUGAUCCCAUUGGGGGUUGAUACAGCAGAGACGUCAUACUUGGAAAUGGCUGCAGGUUCAGAGUAAGUAUUUAAAUUGGUUACAUAAGC
rnacentral:lncRNA from 1 species